rnacentral:misc_RNA from 1 species
GAAAUGCGAUAAGUAGUGUGAAUUGCAGAAUUCAGUGAAUCAUCGAAUCUUUGAACGCACAUUGCGCCCUUUGGUAUUCCUUAGGGCAUGCCUGUUCGAGCGUCAUCCAAACCUUCAAGCCCUGCUUGGUGUUGGGUGCCUGUCCCGCCUCCGCGCGCGGACUCACCUCAAAUCCAUUGGCGGCCCCCGCGUCGGCCACGAGCGCAGCAGAAACGCGAACUCGUGAGCCCGUCCGGGCGGCUCCCAGAAGCUACACCCACCCAGUUUGACCUCGGAUCAGGUAGGGAUACCCGCUGAACUUAAGC